AAAGUUCCGCAAGGAAUUAGUAGAGUGGCAAACGGGUGAGUAACACGUGGGUGACCUGCCUUCGAGUGGGGGAUAACGUCCCGAAAGGGACGCUAAUACCGCAUAAUAUCCUGCCUUUUAAGAGGUGGAAAUCAAAGCCGGGGAUCGCAAGACCUGGCGCUUGAAGAGGGGCCCGCGUCCGAUUAGCUAGUUGGUGAGGUAACGGCUCACCAAGGCGACGAUCGGUAGCCGGCCUAAGAGGGCGGACGGCCACACUGGGACUGAGACACGGCCCAGACUCCUACGGGAGGCAGCAGUGGGGAAUUGUUCGCAAUGGGCGCAAGCCUGACGACGCAACGCCGCGUGGAGGAUGAAGACCUUCGGGUCGUAAACUCCUUUCGAUCGAGACGAAUGGCCUCCGGGUUAAUAACCUGGGGGAGUGACGGUACCGAGAGAAGAAGCCCCGGCUAACUCCGUGCCAGCAGCCGCGGUAAUACGGGGGGGGCAAGCGUUGUUCGGAAUUACUGGGCGUAAAGGGCUCGUAGGCGGCCAACUAAGUCAGACGUGAAAUCCCUCGGCUUAACCGGGGAACUGCGUCUGAUACUGGAUGGCUUGAAUCCGGGAGAGGGAUGCGGAAUUCCAGGUGUAGCGGUGAAAUGCGUAGAUAUCUGGAGGAACACCGGUGGCGAAGGCGGCAUCCUGGACCGGCAUUGACGCUGAGGAGCGAAAGCCAGGGGAGCAAACGGGAUUAGAUACCCCGGUAGUCCUGGCCCUAAACGAUGAAUGCUUGGUGUGGCGGGUAUCGAUCCCUGCCGUG
rnacentral:rRNA from 1 species